rnacentral:misc_RNA from 1 species
CAGAAGGAUCUGAAGUUUCAGCUGCACUUCACUAUCUAGACCAGCAAGUUCUCAUACUUGACAUGGAAAAUCGGGCUUUAAAGCAGCGUCUGGAUAGUUUAUCUCAGGAACAACUCAUAAAAUAUUGUAAGUAUUUUUCUAGUGUUUUAAAACCAUAAGCAACUAUAUAUUCUUUUUUGGUAUGUCAAAAAUAUAUUUAAAGAAAUACCUCGUGCACUCAAGACAGUCACUUAACUGCAACUAUAUUACUUGAACAUGAAAUUGGCGGUGGAUACAGUGGAGCAGGAUAUGCUAGAAAGAGAGAUAGCUAGGCUUCAAAUUCUGCACUAUCAACAGCAACAACAAAAGCAGAAACACAAGCAGAAGCAGAAGCAGAAGCGUCCUACACAUUAUCAAUCCAAAAAUAGGGAAGUUGUAUUGCAGUUGGCCAACCUAUGUAUAUAGUACCAAGGAAAGGAAUUGGAUCCUAGUAACAUAAUUAGAGGCUCUCUCCAAACUAGACUUUGGUAAAUAUAAGAAGUCUAAUAUAUAUAAAUCCAUAUAUGUAUUUCAUUUCCUUUUUUUUUUAAUUAUUAUUAUUGAUUAGGACCUUACCUAAUAGGGCCUUAUUAUUGUUAGAUCUCUCUGUCCCACUUCUUUCUUUUCUAUUGCUUGUUAACUAUUCUAGGAAUAGUAACUCUAAUUAUGUUAUUGUAUUUAUUUAUGUGGUAAAAAAUGCCAUUCAAUAUCCUAUCCAAAGUAUUCAAAACGAGAUUGUGGCACAAAGCCAUUUCUUCCAUUUUAUCUAACUUAUAAAGUCAGGGGUAAAACAAAAAGAGGAGAAUAGGAUAAAAGUAGUUCUUAAGGGGUGUUUGGUGCAAGGUUAACAAAGGGUAAUUGUUACUCUUGUAACUUUUAACUCCUCAUUAAUGU